AGAGUUUGAUCAUGGCUCAGAACGAACGCUGGCGGCAUGCCUAACACAUGCAAGUCGAACGCAAGGCUUCGGCCUUGAGUGGCGCACGGGUGAGUAGCGCGUGGGAACCUGCCCUUCAGUGGGGGAUAACCGAGGGAAACUUCGGCUAAUACCGCAUGCGCCCGGAGCAAUCCGGGGAAAGAUUUAUCGCUGAUGGAGGGGCCCGCGUCGGAUUAGCUAGUUGGUAGGGUAACGGCCUACCAAGGCUUUGAUCCGUAGCUGGUCUGAGAGGAUGAUCAGCCACACUGGGACUGAGACACGGCCCAGACUCCUACGGGAGGCAGCAGUGGGGAAUAUUGGACAAUGGGCGAAAGCCUGAUCCAGCAAUGCCGCGUGAGUGAGGAAGGCCUUAGGGUUGUAAAGCUCUUUCGGCGGGGACGAUGAUGACGGUACCCGCAGAAGAAGCCCCGGCUAACUUCGUGCCAGCAGCCGCGGUAAUACGAAGGGGGCGAGCGUUGUUCGGAUUUACUGGGCGUAAAGGGCGCGCAGGCGGUCAUUUUUGUCGAGUGUGAAAGCCCCGGGCUUAACCUGGGAACUGCGCUCGAAACGGGAUGACUAGAGAUCGGGAGAGGAGAGUGGAAUUCCCAGUGUAGAGGUGAAAUUCGUAGAUAUUGGGAAGAACACCGGUGGCGAAGGCGGCUCUCUGGACCGAUACUGACGCUGAGGCGCGAAAGCGUGGGGAGCAAACAGGAUUAGAUACCCUAGUAGUCC
rnacentral:rRNA from 1 species